UUGAUUUGGUGCUGCAGUCUGCCAAUCGGUUAAACAUAGCGUUGGUGACAUGUGUUUGUUCUAUAAACAAGUACGUGUUUAUUUUAUGCAGUUUAGUUCCAUGUGUGAUAUCGUUUAAAUACGUCCGUUGUAUACCAUGGAAAAAUUUCCGCCAGAUCUGCCGUUCAAUCCGACUACAACGACGAGAGCUCCGCAAGGGGACACGUCUUGCGCAAGCGGGAGCGGCACUAACGACGGCUCGGCUUCUAUGGGAGAGUGUUGCACAGAGGAAAAACAGGACGAAGAGCAGCCCGUAACAAUAGCCAACGAUGGCCAAGAGCGUUCCAGACUUGACGCCAUCUCAUUAUUGAAUCAGCGAAUACAAGGGAGUGGGGCGAGAUUGGAUGGCAGACGCUGUGCUAGAAAAAGAAGCAUGCUGUAUAGCAGUGCAUAGCGAUCAGAGCCGACCCGACGACUAAGGAACGGGUCUACCUCCUCUUUUAAGACCCAAAAAAUCUCAGGCUAUCGUACACGUUGCCUAUGAUGCUGUUGCUGCCGCUGAUGCGCCAGCAGAGCCCGCUCCUAUUCGGCGUUAUCUUUGGCCUCUUCAGGCGCCCGGCAGGGUAAGCCGGCUGGCGGAAGGGCAGACGACCAACUGCGGCUAAGACAAGCUUCACCUUCGACUCGCGAAAGGCUUGCUAAUCAGGGAGCCAUCUCAUAUAUAUAUAUGAGCAUCGUUUGAGACAGCAACUAUGAUACAUGACCAUACGAGGUAUCGCAUGGACACUUGGCACUUUCCAACGCAGAAGAUGGAUGUAAUGACAGAGCAGUGGCUGUGUAUUAGUAUAGGUGAGUCCGUGCGCGAUAUGAGGACAACGUGGUAAAAGGAUCCGCCCCCAAAUAGCCCUAGGAAGCGAACGGAAGCCGAAGGCUUAAGACGUUUAGGACGCUACAAACGAAUGCAUCCACUGAUACUCUUAGUUGUAUUACUGAGGGUAACAUGGUUCACAGCCUUAAAGCAAUUACACUAUUAGAGAUGAUAUAAACUUAGUGAUACGUAACCUUUACAUAACCCCUUUGACGGAGUGCUAAGCGACAGUAGAGAAGAGGUAUGGAUCUAUAAGCGUUAGCUUAGCUACACACGCGUCCGAGAAGAAAAAUGGCGUCGCUUGCAUCUUGUUGGUUUUCGAAUUGAGUCACUGAUUUGCUCUAUAGUGUACUUUGUAGAUGUAUAUAUCAGAACAAACGUAGCCGUGUGAAUUUUGUAUAUACGUGAGAGGUUUCAUUACGUAUGCACAUGAG